UUACAAUGGAGAGUUUGAUCCUGGCUCAGGAUGAACGCUAGCGGCAGGCCUAAUACAUGCAAGUCGAACGGGAUCUAG
rnacentral:rRNA from 1 species